CUCCUGCAUAACUACACUUCAUGACUUUAUCGGCAUGGCUAAAGCCUAAGAUAAAUGCAUGGUAGAGGCUGAGUUCAAGCGGCUGCUUCCCUUUAGACAAAGAAGUCAAGGAUAAGAGCCCACGCCCCUUGUGAGAUGGAAAGCACACAAGAGCUGUGAGACAGCGAGCAUUGUUGAUGCCAGGCUAUGCAGAUGCCGUCGAGCUGGGAGUGGAGCAGCCGUCACCAUCAGUGAGAUAAGUGUCUGGUCUGGUGAGGACUCUGGUAAUGGCCGACGUGACUCCCUCCCACGUUUUUUUCUUUUUCUCCUCUAAUGUGUUGGCCAGCACAUUCUGUCUGUCUCUCCCCAUCUCCUUGCCUCUCUUUGUGCCGUCUCCCUUCAUAGGACACGGGCAGGUGUGGUAGGUGUGCAACACCACAGGCUAGGUCUUGUGAGCUAUGAACAAGUAGGGUAUGGAAAUCAUGCAGUGCAGUAGGCGCUAAAGUGCAGCACUGACUGUGGGUGUUGGCUGAGCCUCUGCUCUAGUGGGGCUGAUGUGGAUGGGAUCGGAGAGGGAGGUAGGGAUGGGGGCAAGAUUUCACGCACUAACUGAAUUUUGUGCAGUGAUGACUCUUGCUUGGCUUAUUGGCUGUGCUUGCAGAGGAAUCGUCUGGGAGCAGCAGCCGGAGGAGAAACAGCCAGAUGUGGACUUGAGCGGCCUCGACAUCCUUUACCAAGGGAAAAGACGUGGAGGGUCAAGAGUCCGCUCCCCUCAUUUGAUGGAAAGCGAGGGAGAGCAGGGAGACCACAAGCAUUAUUGAUGCCAGG